GUGAUUUUAUCUCAGAGGCUGGUGAGAGGUUGGUGGGAACGGUUUCUUAACCUGAGAAAAAGAAAAAAAUGGAGAGCAUAGUUAGAAGUUUUGCAGAGACACUUUAUUACUUCGCAUCCCUUCAUGUUUAUAUCAAGAUGAAAAUUUUCAUGUGGGAGUUACUGAUGAUAAAUUUCAGAAGCCAUGGACAAGAGGAAAGCAAUUACUGGAAUGAUGAUCUGAUUCAUUAUGAAUUUGAGGAAGUUGGUCCAAGUUCAAACCAGACUCCCAAAUUGAAGUAGAAGAAGCCAGCUUAUACACCCAAAAGGACUAUAGUGAAGUCUUUACAUUUGUCAGCUGUUUAGAGAAGUGGCCAGUAUUUCAAGCACAGAACCAAGUUUGCUAAUGCUGCCAGAAUGCAAAACACCAGAGAUGGACUGGCUUUUAUAAAA